CUGCCUAUUAGAGGGUGACGAGGUUGAUAACAGGUUAGUGUGUGUGUGUGUGUGUGUGUGUGUGUGUGUGUGUGUGUGUGUGUGUGUGUGUGUGUGUGUGUGUGUGUGUGUGUGUGUGUGUGUGUGUGUGUGUAGGGAUGACUGGAAAUGAGAAAACACCUCCGGCACACAGAGAAAGCCUUUUUGUUGUUGUUCUGAGCUCCAGACUACGCAUGUGUAUGUACACUCAACACUUUAUGGCCAAGAUUUCUCACCAUCAGCUGCUGCGAUUGAGUUUGAAAACUCUUCAACAUUUACAAUUAUUUCCAAAUUUGACUUGUUAACAGUCAUUCAAACAUUUUUUUGCAAACCAAAAGAAGCCUUUCGCAGCUGUGACGUGUGAACUGAAAGUGUGCGUGACGUGCAGGAAGCGUAAGAUUUCCAUCAAAGCAAACACAUACUUUUACAAAAAUGACUGUUGGUGUUUAUUAGGAACUUUAAAUAGAUAACAUCAAACCUUUUGUUUACAGACUCAGGAGCUGUACUCCUGACUCUGAAAGCUGCUUUAAAAUCAGCACAUCUAUUAAAGUUAUCCCAGGGCAGCUCUUCACAUUUUCAGAAAUUGUAAAAAUCAUUUCAAAACCGACACCAAGCACAUUUUUCUUUGAUGGUUUUUCUCUCACUUCACAAACUCCUCACAUUAAAUAUGUUAUUAUUCUACUGUGAGAUCUGCAGCGGGGUUAUCUGACUCUAAACCUGCAGCAGCUCUAUUCAUACAACUUCACUGCUUCGCUAUUUCAUGGACUGGAUUAUUUGAAAUUAAAAUAUUCACUUUUUUAACCAUA